rnacentral:rRNA from 1 species
GUUGUGGGUACAAAGGGUGGCCGGGUGGGGUGUCCGGCGGCGGGAGGAGGUUAGCGCGGCAGCCGAUGGGGGAGGAGGUUAGUGUGACAGCCGGCGGGGGUGGAGGUUGACGCGGCGGCGACCGGGGAUGGUGGUGGCCACGACACCGGUCCGGGUUAGAAGUUGAUGCGGCGGCAGCUCCGGACUGAAGGUUUGUGCAGUGGCGGCCCGGGGAUGGAGGUGAGUGCGGCGGCGGCCCGGGACUGUUCGCCGGGAGGCCGAUUGGUGGCGAAGGGGAGGGCGGCGUGCGCGGGAGGCCGGUUGAUGUCGGAGGGGUGGGGCAGGGCGAGUAGAGGGCCGGUUGGUAGCGGAGGGUAGGGAGACUGUAGCUGGACGUUGACCACCACCAGAACUGGCCGUCGUCCCCCGCCAGAGCUGGACAUCGACCAGGCGCAACUAUCCCUAGUAGAAGAGAACGUCUCUAGGUAACUACAAGGAACGACUACCGACGGGCUCGAUACUCUUAUUAGCCGGAGGUUGGCGGAGCCGGCGAGUGGUUGUGCGGGUGGACGUCAAGUCCAUAACGGGCUGGCUACGAUUAGCGCCGGUGACGGGAAUUUUAAACAGAGAGUAGAUCUCGAACAGUCAUGUUGCCAACAGGGUACGUAAUGAGCGAAUUUUUAAAUAAGUACCUACGGUGGUUCUUGGGUGCGGAUACGAGAGAGAGAGUUAAACAACUUUGUAUAUCGUUAGAAGAACACAUGAUUAACUGAAAUACCGGUUCAAAAGAGACAUGUACUACGAUGAUUAGAUUAUAACCUUUUCUAAAGGGUACUCUACUCACACAUAGUCCCAACUUUUAAAAUAAAAUUCUAGGAGAACACCAGAAACUCCUGAGUUUAGUACAUAAGACAUGUGUACUCACUUAAAGUCAAACGGCCUCUUCUCUGUAACGGUACCGGCUACAACCGACAAGCACGUACCUGCACGUACAUAAGGUAAACUUUUGGACCCUCGUACGGGUUUUUUCAAGUCUUUAUAGUUACCAUUUUCAAUCUUAUAAACCUCCAACUACGAAACACACACAUAUGUACCCACGUGUAAAAGAAAAAAUACUAUACAUCGAGUUGUUACGGCAUUUAAGGUGGCCUUAAACAAGGUAAAUCGUUAAACACAAUACUACUAAGUCAUGAACAACAAAUGUUUUUUUACGGUAAAAAACGUCGUUUUACAAACACUUUUUUUACAUCACUUUGUAACACGAGAGUUCUCACAAACUAUACGAGUGUUUUUCACAAAACUACUUAACCAAAUAAACUUCAAGUUUAACCAAACAACUUCUUACAGCUGAGAUAGGACCUGUUGUGUGUCGGAGGAGGGUCACCCCGGGUAGUACGAGUCCAGCAAGCAGCGACGGUGGAGGCCGGCAAGUUGAUGCGUCGCGAUUCUGCAAGUGGCGGUAGUCUUUGUCACCGCUCGUGCUUCUGUGGGAGAGUACGAGUCACGAGACAGGUCGUAUUGUGUUCUUCAAGUACAUUUUGUCGACGCUUGUAAGUCUUUCUAAUCGAGCGGGGAGGAGGUAGCUACCGGAUGUGGCCGGCGAUCUUGGGCAGGUCCACGACCGGCAGUAGGAGAUGGAAGUUAAUGCCCAGUCGUUGUUGCAACGCUUAUCUUUCCAGUCGUAGACCGGGAGAUCUUCAAGUCAAACAACUAAAAAACUUCAAAAAUUUAACCUGAUAUUGGCACAUAUAAAACGUCCCGGGACACUUCAAGUUAAACAAAACGAAAGGCUUCAAAUCAAACAACUAAAAGACUUCAAACCUAACAAUUAAAAAACUUCUCUUUCCAACUAAGUGAACGUGAGGUGAUAGAUCAGGACACACCACUAUAGGAGCUGAGGAGCCAAGCCUCGAUCGUCGCCAAGAAGUUGAAGGGACGACACAACGGCGCUAACAACCAUUUAUUAGGAACAAGAUGAUAACGGAACAUCAUUACGACCUACCCAAGGGGGAACAACACCUUGGUAUUAUUAUGUUCAAACAGAGACGCGAGGACAAGGACACAAUGUUAUCGUCUCUUUUCAUGGUUCCCAGUCUUGGUUUGGUCUCACUUGGUAUGGUUAGUCUUGUACCAGUAAACCUCGGUUGAGAUUAGCAAACAAGUAGAUUGACGUCGUCUCUGUUUAAAAUAUGAAACAAGUAAAUGCCACGGUUCAACUCGCCUGUGGCAUGGUGAGCUCUUCUACCCCUCUCCUACACACCACUUCUCUUUUGUAUCCCAAAGUUUAACAGGUAACCACCAUCGUAGAUUAGUAAAAUGGUUUCACAUUACCUGUACACAUACAUACAUGUCAUCGUAUAAAAUGAGUUUGGCUCAAUAAAAAAAUUACGUGUUUCAAACAGGUCGGUUUUUUUGUACAUAAUUUGACCAAAAACAUAUAAAAAGAUUGGAAAAG